GACCUGUCUGCCUCAAUCCUUGAAAUUGUACUGGAGGCACUACAAUCAUUAGGAGUGGAGACAUCUGAGAAACAAACCACACCAAAUAUGGAAAUUUCAAGCCAGGCCAGCAUAUCGUCUCCAUCUGUUUUAAGGUUUAAGGGUGGUGGCACAGCUAAGACCCAAGAGUCUCUUUCAAGACACUGAAUUUGAGCAGAAACCAUAAGGAUACUCAAAGGACCUGUGACUCUCAGGAAAUGCAUCAAAUGAGAGAGACAGAUGAAACAGUUUCAAGACAAUGGCAGGAAAAAAAUGCUGAAGAUUGAAACAAACCUUGGCUGGAAA